rnacentral:rRNA from 1 species
AUGCUAGGCAGGGUCAUCUUCUGCGUGGUGAUCGCCGCGGCCGUCCUCGCCGUCGUCCUGCUCGCCACCGUCUCCCCUCUCCCCCACCGGUCCACCGCGCGCCCCCGGGGACUCCGCGACAUCACGGUGUACAUCCAUCCGGCGGCGUCAGGUGCCGCGAGGCAUAAGCAGGGCGCCGCGCACGGAGACGAAGGGGUGGCGAGGGCGCUGGUGUUCCGCCACCGGAUGACGGCGGGGCCGGAGAUCACGUCAGCGGCCGUCGGCGCGGCCUCGGGGUUCGUUCUCCCGGGCGAGCGCGGCUCGGCGAUGUCGGCGUUCGACACGGUGCACCUGGCGUUCGACGCGCCCGGGCUGUCCGGCAGCCUCUGCGUGGAGGUGGCCAGGGACAAGGAGGCGCUCUGUGUGGUGGGCGGCACGGGCGCGUUCGCGUUCGCGCGCGGGCGCGGCGCCGUCCUGCGCCCGGAGCGGGGGAAGCGGCUGGACGGCGGCGGCGCCGGGACGGCGUUGCGUCUUGAGCUGAGCCUGAGCCUGAGCGUCGCGUCCGCUGGCGCUGGGUAA